rnacentral:rRNA from 1 species
UACGUAGGUGGCAAGCGUUGUCCGGAUUUAUUGGGCGUAAAGAGCUCGUAGGUGGUUUGUCGCGUUGUUCGUGAAAACUCACAGCUCAACUGUGGGCGUGCGGGCGAUACGGGCAGACUUGAGUUCGGUAGGGGAGACUGGAAUUCCUGGUGUAGCGGUGAAAUGCGCAGAUAUCAGGAGGAACACCGGUGGCGAAGGCGGGUCUCUGGGCCGAAACUGACGCUGAGGAGCGAAAGCGUGGGGAGCGAACAGG